rnacentral:rRNA from 1 species
GAUGAACGCUGGCGGCGUGCUUAACACAUGCAAGUCGAACGGAAGGGCUCCUGCUUGCAGGGGUACUCGAGUGGCGAACGGGUGAGUAACACGUGGGUGAUCUGCCCUGCACUUCGGGAUAAGCUUGGGAAACUGGGUCUAAUACCGGAUAGGACCGCAUUUUGGAUGGUGUGGUGGAAAGUUUUUUCGGUGUGGGAUGAGCUCGCGGCCUAUCAGCUUGUUGGUGGGGUAAUGGCCUACCAAGGCGUCGACGGGUAGCCGGCCUGAGAGGGUGUACGGCCACAUUGGGACUGAGAUACGGCCCAGACUCCUACGGGAGGCAGCAGUGGGGAAUAUUGCACAAUGGGCGCAAGCCUGAUGCAGCGACGCCGCGUGGGGGAUGACGGCCUUCGGGUUGUAAACUCCUUUCGCUAGGGACGAAGAGUAAUUGACGGUACCUGGAGAAGAAGCACCGGCUAACUACGUG